rnacentral:rRNA from 1 species
UACGUAGGCAGCGAGCGUUGUUCGGAGUUACUGGGCGUAAAGAGUAUGUAGGCGGUUUUGUAAGUUUGGUGUGAAAUCUCCCGGCUCAACUGGGAGGGUGCGCCGAAAACUGCAAGGCUAGAGUGUGGGAGAGGAAAGCGGAAUUCCUGGUGUAGCGGUGAAAUGCGUAGAUAUCAGGAGGAACACCGGCGGUGUAGACGGCUUUCUGGACCAUUACUGACGCUGAGAUACGAAAGCGUGGGGAG